rnacentral:rRNA from 1 species
AACCGGAGGAAGUGGGGAUGACGUCAAGUCAUCAUGGCCCUUACGGCCUGGGCUACACACGUGCUACGAAUAGGUCGGUACAAAGGGUUGCCAAGCCGCGAGGUGGAGCUAAUCCCAUAAAACCGAUCGUAGUCCGGAUCGCAGUCUGCAACUCGACUGCGUGAAGUCGGAAUCGCUAGUAAUCGUGAAUCAGAAUGUCACGGUGAAUACGUUCCCGGGCCUU